AGCAGCAGAAUUACCACUUUGUAGUUACCACCAGGAUCUUUUCAAAUUUCAGAAGUUAAACAAGGCUGGUCCUGAUCAGUACAGGGUUGAGAGACCUCUAAGGGAAACCAGGUUGCUGUCC
rnacentral:rRNA from 1 species